GACGAACGCUGGCGGCGUGCUUAACACAUGCAAGUCGAACGGAAAGGCCUUUUCGGCGGUACUCGAGUGGCGAACGGGGGAGUAACACGUGGGUGAUCUGCCCUCCACUCUGGGAGAUGCCUGGGAAACUGGGUCUAAUACCGGAGAGGACCGCACUUUUGAGUGUGUGGGGGAAAGUGUUUUCGGUGUAGGAUGAGCGCGCGGCCUAUCAGCUUGUUGGUGGGGUAAUGGCCUACCAAGGCGGCGACGGGUAGCCGGACUGAGAGGUUGGUCGGCCACAUUGGGACUGAGAUACGGCCCAGACUCCUACGGGAGGCAGCAGUGGGGAAUAUUGCACAAUGGGCGCAAGCCUGAUGCAGCGACGCCGCGUGGGGGAUGACGGCCUUCGGGUUGGAAACUCCUUUCGCCAGGGACGAAGCGUUUUGUGACGGUACCUGGAGAAGAAGCACCGGCUAACUACGUG
rnacentral:rRNA from 1 species